GUGUUUGCUUUGGUAGCACACGUACUCAAAUCAGAAUGAUACAGAGAAGAUUAGCAUGGCUCCUGUGUAAGGAUGACAUGCUAAUUUGUGAAAUGUUCUAUGUUAUA